rnacentral:lncRNA from 1 species
GAACCCGGCGGAGCCUCUUUGCGAGGCCGGUGCCGCGGUAGCGGCAGCGCGCUGGGACCUGCGGAAAUACUCCUUGCUCAUCGUGAUCGGCGAUAUCGGUACAGAGAGUCAGCUGAGGGCCGUGCGGGCCCACCUUGAACAAGGUGAGCCGCUCUCCUGGCUUUUACGCAGUACUCCAUCCAUGCCUCUCCGCCAUCUGCAUUCAUCUCCCAGUGCACAUUUCUGUCUCCUCUAUCUCUAUGUGCACUUCCCGAAACCUGCGACCCUGUCACCUGCAUCUUCCAUGAAUGUGCCUCUGUCCUCUCGAGCUGCCAACACCUUGCUUGCCCAUCCUUUCUGCAUACCCCAUUCUGUUCCGCAGUGUCCCGGAGCAGGAGCAGGAGAAGCUCCGUGGAGACCCUGGGGUCCCUCUGGUCACACCCCUUUCCCGAAGCCACUGGACCAUAUAUCCGAAAGUCCUCAUCAGACCCUGAAAAGUCCAUGUCCCUACCUUACAAUUUCUUCUUUAGGGGAGGUUUUUGAACGCGAGGUACACAUCUCAAAUCUCUGAAUGCUGGCAGCCAAGUUUAGAGAGUGACCUUCGUGGCUCUGCAGCUCACCUCCCUCAGCCGUGCCUGUGGCGCAGUGCUGCGGAGCCACCUGCGGGUGGAAGCAGGGGAUGGAGGCAAGGGAGGGGGCAUAGGAGAAUCUAGAAUCUGAUUUAGCAAGAGGGAUCAUUAUGGAAACCUACAGUAUAUGGAAAUAGACCCUUGCGUGUCACUUCUACCGUAACUGUUUUGCCUUGAAAAACAAAAACUCCAAGCUCAUUUAUUAGUAAGCCCAUUCUAAACUCUGCUCUUUGCCCUCUGGAAAGGGGAAAAAGCAGGUACUAGCUAUCCUUCUUGGAGGCAUCACCUCCCAUUUCUUUCCUCUCCCAGGAGCUUGGCAAUGCUUUCUGUGGGUGACUUUGACUAGAACCCUCUUAUUUUUUUUCCCCCUUUUCUUUUACAGGGAUUCUCUCCUGGAAUAUUGACUUAUCAUCCUUUGACUUGAACCAACAGUUGAGACUCUUCAUUACCCGGCACCUAGCUCACUUCUCCUCAGAGGUCAAAGGUUAGGACUAGGGUUAUUUGUCUCAGUCCUUUGGGUCCAGUAUCCAGGCCAGAACUGGCCUUAUGGGAGGAUUGGGUAGGUAAAAAGGGAGGGACUUUUGAUGGCUCCACAGCUAUUUACACAUGCUGUGGAUAAUGCCCAGUACACACUGCAACCACUCAAUAUGAUGGUAGAGCAUAAUUUUGUCAGGAAAAACGUUGUUGUACACAGCAGCUGACAAGCACUAAGAAAGUGAUCAAACCACUCGCAGGUAAAAGCUUUUCCUCUGUGUUCCCUUUCUGCAUACCCCAGCUUUCUUGCUUCUCUUUAUAAACAUCCCAGAAUGCCUCAUUCACCUCCCCAGACCCUUAUUUCUCACAGCCCACCUUCCAGGAUUCUUUUCUGUUUCCUCCUGGCUUAGCCAGCAGAUCUUCAGAGCAGAACAGAAGGCUGCCACCUAGGGCUGAUCAGAUCAGCACCCAGGGAGCCAGGCUGGGACAAAGGUCUCCUCGAUUUGUGAGGCUUGAUUCUGAGAUCAGGUCUGAUGGGUGGGAGAACUCGUCUAGAAAUGUGCGAUAAAAGCUUAAUUAGCAUUCUACUGCAGGUGUCUACGGAGAGAGUUGGGAAAGUCCUACGUCCCUUGAUAAAGGUGUUGGGCAUCUGGCCAUAUUAUUGUAAAUGUUGACACACCAAUCAAUAUAACUUUCUUUUAAAAAACAACAAACAAAAAAACCAGGAUCUCACUCUAUAGUCCACAUGUAGUCUAGGAUGCAAUCAAACUUGUUAUCCUCCUGCCUCUACCUCCUGAGUACUAGAGUUGUAGGCAUGUACCACCGUACCUGCUUCCGUAUAGUUUUAUAGGAUGUGACUUCCAUGUACUCAAUAGUCAUUGCUACCAAAUAACAGACUUCACAUGUUACUAACUCUCAACAGUCCAGUACAGCAGAUAGACUUUCUGCUCCGCCAGUCUGGCCAGUUCCUCAUCAAUGAGUUCUCAUGAGCUGCUGUGGAGAGGCUGGAGAAAGUGAGGUUGACAUGGCUAAAGCUCUAUUACACUUAGAGUAUGUGCAGCAGCUUAAAUACCAUGACGCUGGCAUCUUCCUGAUGGGACUGGCUUCCUGGAAAACGAGCCAUUUGCUCCUUGGAGAUUACCUUCUUUUGACAAUGACCCAUGUCAUGACAUCCUCCACUAUUCCCUAUGACCAAAAGACAGUUUUGCCACUUGACACUCCUAGAAACAAGGCUGAAUAAAGGGAUGGCUGGGGGUUCAACUGAUUACUGAGGAUUGAGUGUUAUCUAGGGUCCUACUAGGAAUUCAAACCAGAUUCUCUAACCUUGUCCUUCUGGCCAUAGAGACUUUGAGUACUGUAAGAAAUGAACAAUAUCUGAGGCAAAGUCCCUAGCUGUUCUUCCAGUUGAGACUAAGGAAAUGCUUGGGAAGAGGUUUGCAGGGUGUCAUAUUCUCAGAAACAGGCACUGGAAUAGAAACACCCACUGAUGUCCUCAAUCAGUUUUGCUAUGGUGUCCUCAAGGGGCUUGAAGCCAUCCACUCGAGAUGCUAACGUACUUUUAGCAUACAGAAUUUGUUUUAGGUUUAGACAUUGUCAUGGUGGCCUCUGUCCCUGAAGAACAGUGGAGAAUUUCCUGGGGGCAGGGGGGCACAAAGCUUAAGGCAGCCAUAGCUCCACCCCUGCUAGUUUCUCUUUCAGCUGUCUCUGAACACAGCCUGCCCAAAGCAGCUGCAGGCACUGCCUUCUCCUUCCAGCCUCCUUUGAGUGGAUAGGUUAGGGUACCCAAGAGUUGGGGUGAACUGAAGGAGAUACACUAACGGUCUUAUGGUUUGACCUUUCUGGCCUACUUCAUAGGGUAGACCACUAUGGCCAGAAUAAUGAAGGAACAAAAUAUGUCUUACAAUGAUAGGAAGAGCGUGAUUAUUUUUAGGCCUACCCCCUCUACAUUUACAAUCCCACCCCCACACAUACAGAAAAGAAGGGGCCCUCAGAUAGUCAGUGGCCCAGCUCCUUCUAGUGGUCACGUCUGGU